UACGGAGGGUGCAAGCGUUAUCCGGAUUUACUGGGCUUAAAGGGUGCGUAGGCGGGCAGGUAAGUCAGUGGUGAAAUCUCCGAGCUUAACUCGGAAACUGCCAUUGAUACUAUCUGUCUUGAAUUAUCUGGAGGUGAGCGGAAUAUGUCAUGUAGCGGUGAAAUGCUUAGAUAUGACAUAGAACACCAAUUGCGAAGGCAGCUCACUACGGAUAUAUUGACACUGAGGCACGAAAGCGUGGGGAUCAAACAGG
rnacentral:rRNA from 1 species